rnacentral:rRNA from 1 species
GACGAACGCUGGCGGCGUGCUUAACACAUGCAAGUCGAACGGAAAGGCCCUGCUUUUGUGGGGUGCUCGAGUGGCGAACGGGUGAGUAACACGUGAGUAACCUGCCCUUGACUUUGGGAUAACUUCAGGAAACUGGGGCUAAUACCGGAUAGGAGCUCCUGCUGCAUGGUGGGGGUUGGAAAGUUUCGGCGGUUGGGGAUGGACUCGCGGCUUAUCAGCUUGUUGGUGGGGUAGUGGCUUACCAAGGCUUUGACGGGUAGCCGGCCUGAGGGGGUGACCGGCCACAUUGGGACUGAGAUACGGCCCAGACUCCUACGGGAGGCAGCAGUGGGGAAUAUUGCACAAUGGGCGGAAGCCUGAUGCAGCAACGCCGUGUGCGGGAUGACGGCCUUCGGGUUGUAAACCGCUUUCGCCUGUGACGAAGCGUGAGUGACGGUAAUGGGUAAAGAAGCACCGGCUAACUACGUG